rnacentral:lncRNA from 1 species
GUAUGAUUUGCCUCAUUCAAAAUGAAGAAACUCUUGAUCUCGUCCUACUCCAAUCACACAUAGCUCCACCUCAUUCUGCAUUGGAAUUUGUCAAUAAUUUGAAUGUGGAAAAUAUAAUUUUCUUUGUUAUAAAUUAUCUUCAUAGAUUUGUUUAUUUGUGCAACUAUAAUUUUUCUUUUUCUUACAAUAUAUUUAUAAAGUUAUUUGUUUAUUCUUGAAAAGUUUAACCACUCCAUUAGUCAUAUAAAGAUACUCAGAUUACGAUUAAUGAAAUACUUCUUUGGACAACAAAUAUCUAUAAAUUAUUGAAGGAUUUAAAGCAAAUAUUCAAGAAAAAACAGAAAAAUGGAUAUGAAAAUUUUAGUCAUAAGGAUACAACAGAGCCCAACAAUAAUAGGCCCAAACGUCAGAUUGUUAAGCCCAAAUGGAUGAAAGACUACAUUAUGUAAUUAAUUAGGUGUUAUUAGAAAGUUUAGGGAACAAUGUAAGGCCAGUUGGGCCCAUACAACUUCUAUUUAAGUCAGUUUUUAAUAGUAAUGAAAGGAGGAGAAUUUUGAUGUUACCCUAGUUUCAAUUAU